UACGAAGGGGGCUAGCGUUGCUCGGAAUCACUGGGCGUAAAGCGCACGUAGGCGGCUUCUUAAGUCAGGGGUGAAAUCCUGGAGCUCAACUCCAGAACUGCCCUUGAUACUGGCGGUCUCGAGUCCGGGAGAGGUGAGUGGAACUGCGAGUGUAGAGGUGAAAUUCGUAGAUAUUCGCAAGAACACCAGUGGCGAAGGCGGCUCACUGGCCCGGUACUGACGCUGAGGUGCGAAAGCGUGGGGAGCAAACAGG
rnacentral:rRNA from 1 species